rnacentral:rRNA from 1 species
ACGGAAGGCAGCAGUGAGGAAUAUUGGUCAAUGGACGUAAGUCUGAACCAGCCAAGUAGCGUGAGGGAUGACGGCCAUAUGGUUGUAAACCUCUUUUGCGAGGGAAUAAAGUGCGUCACGUGUGGUGCAUUGCAUGUACCUUGCGAAUAAGGAUCGGCUAACUCCGUGCCAGCAGCCGCGGUAAUACGGAGGAUCCGAGCGUUAUCCGGAUUUAUUGGGUUUAAAGGGAGCGUAGGCGGGAAGUCAAGUCAGCUGUGAAAUGUAGUCGCUCAACGUCUGCACUGCAGUUGAAACUGGUUUUCUUGAGUGCGUAAGAGGCAGGUGGAAUUUGUCGUGUAGCGGUGAAAUGCUUAGAUAUGGCGAAGAACUCCGAUUGCGUAGGCAGCUGACCAGGCCGUAAAUGACGCUCAUGCACGAAAGUGCGGGGAUCGAACAGGAUUAGAUACCCUGGUA